rnacentral:rRNA from 1 species
AGCAAUCUGCCCAUAUCUGGGGGAUAACAGUUGGAAACGACUGAUAAUACCGCAUAACAUGGUUUGAAGGCAUCUUCUUUCCAUCAAAGAUUUAUCGGAUAUGGAUGAGCUCGCGUCUGAUUAGCUUGUUGGUGAGGUAACGGCUCACCAAGGCGACGAUCAGUAGCCGACCUGAGAGGGUGAUCGGCCACAUUGGAACUGAGACACGGUCCAAACUCCUACGGAAGGCAGCAG